rnacentral:rRNA from 1 species
GACGAACGCUGGCGGCGUGCUUAACACAUGCAAGUCGAACGGAAAGGCCCUGCUUUUGUGGGGUGCUCGAGUGGCGAACGGGUGAGUAACACGUGAGUAACCUGCCCUUGACUUUGGGAUAACUUCAGGAAACUGGGGCUAAUACCGGAUAGGAGCUCCUGCUGCAUGGUGGGGGUUGGAAAGUUUCGGCGGUUGGGGAUGGACUCGCGGCUUAUCAGCUUGUUGGUGGGGUAGUUGCUUACCAAGGCUUUGACGGGUAGCCGGCCUGAGAGGGUGACCGGCCACAUUGGGACUGAGAUGCGGCCCAGACUCCUACGGGAGGCAGCAGUGGGGAAUAUUGCACAAUGGGCGGAAGCCUGAUGCAGCAACGCCGCGUGCGGGAUGACGGCCUUCGGGUUGUAAACCGCUUUCGCCUGUGACGAAGCGUGAGUGACGGUAAUGGGUAAAGAAGCACCGGCUAACUACGUG